rnacentral:rRNA from 1 species
AACGAACGCUGGCGGCAGGCUUAACACAUGCAAGUCGAGCGCCCCGCAAGGGGAGCGGCAGACGGGUGAGUAACACGUGGGAAUCUACCCAUCCCUACGGAACAACUCCGGGAAACUGGAGCUAAUACCGUAUACGCCCUUUGGGGGAAAGAUUUAUCGGGGAUGGAUGAGCCCGCGUUGGAUUAGCUAGUUGGUGGGGUAAAGGCCUACCAAGGCGACGAUCCAUAGCUGGUCUGAGAGGAUGAUCAGCCACAUUGGGACUGAGACACGGCCCAAACACCUACGGGAGGCAGCAGUGGGGAAUAUUGGACAAUGGGCGCAAGCCUGAUCCAGCCAUGCCGCGUGAAUGAUGGAGGCCUUAGGGUUGUAAAGUUCUUUCACCGAUGAAGAUAAUGACGGUAGUCGGAGAAGAAGCCCCGGCUAACUUCGUGCCAGCCGCCGCCGUAA